rnacentral:SRP_RNA from 1 species
CGAGAGGCUGGCGCGGGCAGGCGCCUCGCCAACCCGGUCAGGUCCGGAAGGAAGCAGCCGCAACGAGAACCGCCUGGGUCGCUGUCCAGUCUCUCACCC